AGUGAACGCUGGCGGUAGGCCUAACACAUGCCAGUCGAACGGCAGCACAGUAAGAGCUUGCUCUUACGGGUGGCGAGUGGCGGACGGGUGAGGAAUACAUCGGAAUCUACUUUUUCGUGGGGGAUAACGUAGGGAAACUUACGCUAAUACCGCAUACGACCUACGGGUGAAAGCAGGGGAUCUUCGGACCUUGCGCGAUUGAAUGAGCCGAUGUCGGAUUAGCUAGUUGGCGGGGUAAAGGCCCACCAAGGCGAGGAUCCGUAGCUGGUCUGAUAGGAUGAUCAGCCACAAUGGAACUGAGACACGGUCCAGACUCCUACGAGAGGCAGCAGUGUGGAAUAUUGGACAAUGGGCGCAAGCCUGAUCCAGCCAUCCCGCGUGGGUGAAGAAGGCCUUCGGGUUGUAAAGACCUUUUGUUGGGAAAGAAAAGCAGCAGGUUAAUACCCCGCUGUUCUGACGGUACCCAAAGAAUAAGCACCGGCUAACUUCGUG
rnacentral:rRNA from 1 species